CAGGCUUAACACAUCCAAGUCAAGGGGUAUAGUUCUUCGGAAUUAGAGACCGGCGCACGGGUGCGUAACGCGUAUGCAAUCUACCUUUCACAGAGGGAUAGCCCAGAGAAAUUUGGAUUAAUACCUCAUAGUAUAAUACCUUGGCAUCAAGGAAUUAUUAAAGUCACAACGGUGAAAGAUGAGCAUGCGUCCCAUUAGCUAGUUGGUAAGGUAACGGCUUACCAAGGCGACGAUGGGUAGGGGUCCUGAGAGGGAGAUCCCCCACACUGGUACUGAGACACGGACCAGACUCCUACGGGAGGCAGCAGUGAGGAAUAUUGGACAAUGGGCGCAAGCCUGAUCCAGCCAUGCCGCGUGCAGGAUGACGGUCCUAUGGAUUGUAAACUGCUUUUAUACGAGAAGAAACACUCCGACGUGUCGGAGCUUGACGGUAUCGUAAGAAUAAGGAUCGGCUAACUCCGUGCCAGCAGCCGCGGUAAUACGGAGGAUCCAAGCGUUAUCCGGAAUCAUUGGGUUUAAAGGGUCYGUAGGCGGUCAGAUAAGUCAGUGGUGAAAGCCCAUCGCUCAACGGUGGAACGGCCAUUGAUACUGUCUGACUUGAAUUAUUAGGAAGUAACUAGAAUAUGUAGUGUAGCGGUGAAAUGCUUAGAGAUUACAUGGAAUACCAAUUGCGAAGGCAGGUUACUACUAAUUGAUUGACGCUGAUGGACGAAAGCGUGGGUAGCGAACAGGAUUAGAUACCCUGGUAGUCCACGCCGUAAACGAUGGAUACUAGCUGUUGGGCGCAAGUUCAGUGGCUAAGCGAAAGUGAUAAGUAUCCCACCUGGGGAGUACGUUCGCAAGAAUGAAACUCAAAGGAAUUGACGGGGGCCCGCACAAGCGGUGGAGCAUGUGGUUUAAUUCGAUGAUACGCGAGGAACCUUACCAAGGCUUAAAUGUAGAUUGACCGGUUUGGAAACAGACUUUUCGCAAGACAAUUUACAAGGUGCUGCAUGGUUGUCGUCAGCUCGUGCCGUGAGGUGUCAGGUUAAGUCCUAUAACGAGCGCAACCCCUGUUGUUAGUUGCCAGCGAGUCAUGUCGGGAACUCUAACAAGACUGCCAGUGCAAACUGUGAGGAAGGUGGGGAUGACGUCAAAUCAUCACGGCCCUUACGCCUUGGGCUACACACGUGCUACAAUGGCCGGUACAGAGAGCAGCCACUGGGCGACCAGGAGCGAAUCUAUAAAACCGGUCACAGUUCGGAUCGGAGUCUGCAACUCGACUCCGUAAGCUGGAAUCGCUAGUACCCCU
rnacentral:rRNA from 1 species